CCCUUAGAUGUCCUGGGCUGCACGCGCGCUACACUGAUGUGUCCAGUAAGCACCUAACCUCUUCCGAAAGGAACGGGUAACCUUUGCAAAGCACAUCGUGAUGGGGAUAGAUUAUUGCAAUUAUUAGUCUUGAACGAGGAAUUCCUAGUAAGCACAAGUCAGCAGCUUGUGUUGAUUACGUCCCUGCCCUUUGUACACACCGCCCGUCGCUCCUACCGAUUGAAUGUUCCGGUGAGCUCUUCGGACUGCGCGGUCUGCAGUUUCUGCGUUCCGUGCGGAAAGUUGCGCAAACCUUAACAUUUAGAGGAAGGAGAAGUCGUAACA
rnacentral:rRNA from 1 species